rnacentral:rRNA from 1 species
CCUACGGGCGGCAGCAGUGAGGAAUAUUGGUCAAUGGACGAGAGUCUGAACCAGCCAAGUAGCGUGAAGGAUGACUGCCCUAUGGGUUGUAAACUUCUUUUAUAUGGGAAUAAAAUGUUCCACGUGUGGGAUUUUGUAUGUACCAUAUGACUAAGGAUCGGCUAACUCCGUGCCAGCAGCCGCGGUAAUACGGAGGACCCGAGCGUUAUCCGGAUUUAUUGGGUUUAAAGGGAGCGUAGGUGGAUUGUUAAGGCAGUUGUGAAAGUUUGCGGCUCAACCGUAAAAUUGCAGUUGAAACUGGCAGUCUUGAGUACAGUAGAGGUGGGCCGAAUUCGUGGUGUAGCGGUGAAAUGCUUAGAUAUCACGAAGAACUCCGAUUGCGAAGGCAGUUCACUGGACUGCAACUGACACUGAGGCUCGAAAGUGUGGGUAUCAAACAGGAUUAGAUACCCUGGUAGUC